AGGAAUUUAGGAUAACAUUAGACCAAGGGCCUUCAAAGCCCUAAGCAGAAGUUUGAAUCUUCUAAUUCCUG
rnacentral:tRNA from 2 species